rnacentral:rRNA from 1 species
GUAGGUGGCAAGCGUUGUCCGGAAUUAUUGGGCGUAAAGCGCGCGCAGGCGGUUCUUUAAGUCUGAUGUGAAAGCCCACGGCUCAACCGUGGAGGGUCAUUGGAAACUGGAGAACUUGAGUACAGAAGAGGAAAGCGGAAUUCCACGUGUAGCGGUGAAAUGCGUAGAGGUGUGGAGGAACACCAGUGGCGAAGGCGGCUUUCUGGUCUGUAACUGACGCUGAGGCGCGAAAGCGUGGGGAGCAAACAGGGAUUAGAUACCCUGGUAGUCCACGCCGUAAACGAUGAGUGCUAAAGUGUUAGGGGGGUUUCCCGCCCCUUAGUGCUGCAGCUAACGCAUUAAGCACUCCGCCUGGGGAUACGGCCGCAAGGCUG